rnacentral:misc_RNA from 1 species
GAUGAAGAACGUAGCGAAAUGCGAUAAGUAGUGUGAAUUGCAGAAUUCAGUGAAUCAUCGAAUCUUUGAACGCACAUUGCGCCCUUUGGUAUUCCUUAGGGCAUGCCUGUUCGAGCGUCAUUUAAACCUUCAAGCUCAGCUUGGUGUUGGGUGACUGUCCGCUUCACCGCGGACUCGCCUCAAAAUUAUUGGCGGCCGGUACAUUGGCUUCGAGCGCAGCAGAAACGCGAACUCGGGCCCGUCGUAUUGGCUCCCAGAAGCUAUCUUCACAAUUUUGACCUCGAAUCAGGUAGGGAUACCCGCUGAACUUAAGCAUAUCAAUAAGCGGAGGA